AUACCAUGAUAAGGACAUCUCCUAAAUAACUCUUUGAAUCUUUCUUAUGCAUUAUAGAAGCUUUCAUCUUCAAGUUGAUGGAAGGAUGUGAUCUCAUUUCUCAAUUU
rfam:Citrus clementina cultivar Clemenules unplaced genomic scaffold scaffold_9, whole genome shotgun sequence.